UGGGGAAUUUUUGGACAAUGGGCGAAAGCCUGAUCCAGCAAUGCCGCGUGUGUGAAGAAGGCCUUCGGGUUGUAAAGCACUUUUGUCCGGAAAGAAAAUCCUUGGCUCUAAUACAGUCGGGGGAUGACGGUACCGGAAGAAUAAGCACCGGCUAACUACGUGCCAGCAGCCGCGGUAAUACGUAGGGUGCAAGCGUUAAUCGGAAUUACUGGGCGUAAAGCGUGCGCAGGCGGUUUGCUAAGACCGAUGUGAAAUCCCCGGGCUCAACCUGGGAACUGCAUUGGUGACUGGCAGGCUAGAGUAUGGCAGAGGGGGGUAGAAUUCCACGUGUAGCAGUGAAAUGCGUAGAGAUGUGGAGGAAUACCGAUGGCGAAGGCAGCCCCCUGGGCCAAUACUGACGCUCAUGCACGAAAGCGUGGGGAGCAAACAGGAUU
rnacentral:rRNA from 1 species